UACGGAGGAUGCGAGCGUUAUCCGGAUUUAUUGGGUUUAAAGGGUGCGCAUGCGGCACGGCAAGCCGGCGGUCAAAUCGCGGGGCUCAACCCCGCCCAGCCGUCGGAACUGCCGGGCUAGAGUGGGCGAGAAGUGCGCGGAAUGCGUGGUGUAGCGGUGAAAUGCAUAGAUAUCACGCAGAACUCCGAUUGCGAAGGCAGCGCACCGGCGCCCUACUGACGCUCAGGCACGAAAGCGUGGGUACCGAACAGG
rnacentral:rRNA from 1 species